UACGUAGGGGGGCAAGCGUUUGUCCGGAUUUAUUGGGCGUAAAGAGCGUGUAGGCGCCAGGGAGGUCCGUUGUGAAAACUCGAGGCUCAACCUCGAGACGCCGAUGGAAACCCCCUGGCUAGAGUCCGGAAGAGGAGAAUGGAAUUCCUGGUGUAGCGGUGAAAUGCGCAGAUAUCAGGAGGAACACCGGUGGCGAAGGCGGGUCUCUGGGCCGAUACUGACGCUGAGGAGCGAAAGCGUGGGGAGCGAACAGGAUCUAACC
rnacentral:rRNA from 1 species